rfam:Debaryomyces hansenii mitochondrion, complete genome.
UGGUAUAUAGCAUAAUGGUUAGUGCACAUUAUUACGGAUGAUGUUAUGUAAGUUCGAUUCUUACUAUGCCAU